rnacentral:rRNA from 1 species
UACGUAGGGGGCAAGCGUUGUCCGGAAUCAUUGGGCGUAAAGCGCGUGUAGGCGGCUCGGUAAGUCUGCUCUGAAAGCCCGGGGCUCAACCCUGGGAGGCGGGUGGAUACUGCUGAGCUCGAGUCCGGAAGAGGCGAGUGGAAUUCCUGGUGUAGCGGUGAAAUGCGCAGAUAUCAGGAGGAACACCAAUGGCGAAGGCAGCUCGCUGGGACGGUACUGACGCUGAGACGCGAAAGCGUGGGGAGCGAACAGG